rnacentral:tRNA from 1 species
UCCCUGGUGGUCCAGUGGCUAAGACUCUGCACUCCCAGUGCAGGAGGCCUGGAUUUAAUUCCUUGUCGGGGAA